rnacentral:rRNA from 1 species
GGGUUGUGAGGUUAAGCGACUAAGCGUACACGGUGGAUGCCCUGGCAGUCAGAGGCGAUGAAGGACGUGCUAAUCUGCGAUAAGCGUCGGUAAGGUGAUAUGAACCGUUAUAACCGGCGAUUUCCGAAUGGGGAAACCCAGUGUGUUUCGACACACUAUCAUUAACUGAAUCCAUAGGUUAAUGAGGCGAACCGGGGGAACUGAAACAUCUAAGUACCCCGAGGAAAAGAAAUCAACCGAGAUUCCCCCAGUAGCGGCGAGCGAACGGGGAGCAGCCCAGAGCCUGAAUCAGUAUGUGUGUUAGUGGAAGCGUCUGGAAAGGCGCGCGAUACAGGGUGACAGCCCCGUACACAAAAAUGCACAUGCUGUGAGCUCGAUGAGUAGGGCGGGACACGUGGUAUCCUGUCUGAAUAUGGGGGGACCAUCCUCCAAGGCUAAAUACUCCUGACUGACCGAUAGUGAACCAGUACCGUGAGGGAAAGGCGAAAAGAACCCCGGCGAGGGGAGUGAAAAAGAACCUGAAACCGUGUACGUACAAGCAGUGGGAGCACGCUUAGGCGUGUGACUGCGUACCUUUUGUAUAAUGGGUCAGCGACUUAUAUUCUGUAGCAAGGUUAACCGAAUAGGGGAGCCGAAGGGAAACCGAGUCUUAACUGGGCGUUAAGUUGCAGGGUAUAGACCCGAAACCCGGUGAUCUAGCCAUGGGCAGGUUGAAGGUUGGGUAACACUAACUGGAGGACCGAACCGACUAAUGUUGAAAAAUUAGCGGAUGACUUGUGGCUGGGGGUGAAAGGCCAAUCAAACCGGGAGAUAGCUGGUUCUCCCCGAAAGCUAUUUAGGUAGCGCCUCGUGAAUUCAUCUCCGGGGGUAGAGCACUGUUUCGGCAAGGGGGUCAUCCCGACUUACCAACCCGAUGCAAACUGCGAAUACCGGAGAAUGUUAUCACGGGAGACACACGGCGGGUGCUAACGUCCGUCGUGAAGAGGGAAACAACCCAGACCGCCAGCUAAGGUCCCAAAGUCAUGGUUAAGUGGGAAACGAUGUGGGAAGGCCCAGACAGCCAGGAUGUUGGCUUAGAAGCAGCCAUCAUUUAAAGAAAGCGUAAUAGCUCACUGGUCGAGUCGGCCUGCGCGGAAGAUGUAACGGGGCUAAACCAUGCACCGAAGCUGCGGCAGCGACGCUGAUGCGUUGUUGGGUAGGGGAGCGUUCUGUAAGCCUGCGAAGGUGUGCUGUGAGGCAUGCUGGAGGUAUCAGA